rfam:Picea glauca, whole genome shotgun sequence.
AAUGUAAUGCAUAAAACUUUAAUGCACUUGAUCCCAUUAUAAAUAUUCAGUUAAGUGCACUUGGUCUAGAGUAUUACUAGGAUGGGUGACCUCUCGGGAAUUCCUAGUAUUUUACAUGC